GACGAACGCUGGCGGCGUGAUUAACACAUGCAAGUCGAACGAAGUGGCGAACGGGUGAGUAACGCGUAAUCAACCUGCCCUUCAGAGGGGGACAACAGUUAGAAAAGACUGCUAAUACCGCAUACUGAAGGAGGGGAUUGCGUCUGAUUUGCUGGUUGGGGGGGGAACGGCCAACCAAGGCGAUGGUCAGUCGCCGGUCGGAGACGAUGAACGGCCACAUUGGGACGGAGACACGGCCCAGACUCCUGCGGGAGGCAGCAGUUGGGAAUCUUCCGCAAUGGAAGGAAGUCUGACGGAGCAACGCCGCGUGAGGGAUGACGGCCUUCGGGUUGUAAAGCUCUGUUAAUCGGGACGCGGUACCGGAAUAGAAAGCCACGGCUAACUACGUGCCAGCAGCCGCGGUAAUAC
rnacentral:rRNA from 1 species